UACAGUCGAACCCCUAUUAAGCGGACACCUUUGGGACCUCGCCUAAGUGUCCGCCUAAAAGGGGUGUCCGCUUAAAAGGGGUAUGUAGAAAAACACAGCAGGAGGCAAAGGUGUGUAAUUAGUUGUGUAAUUUGAGUAUCAUCAUGACUGGCGGUUCACAGUCCUCCGACCUCGUUCGUCACUUCCUCAAUAAUCUUGGCUCUGAUAUCUUCGCGCCAGGUUGGUGUGUCAAUGUCAAUGUGCCAUGUAAAUUGAUCUCAAUUGUUAUUUACUGUCGAAUAUUGAAUACAUUUUAUCAGACAAUGUGUCAUCUGUCCGCUUAAGAGAGGUUGAUUUGCCCAUUGGGACCUCCAGAAAGGUGUCCGCGUCCGUUAAAGAGGGGUGUCCGCUUAAUAGGGGUUAUGAUAAUAGUAUUUUAUUAAGGAAACCGAAUGGGACCUGAGAUAUGUGUCCGCUUAAAAGAUGUGUCCGCUUAAGAGAGGUGUCCGCUUAUAGGGGUUCGACUG